rnacentral:rRNA from 1 species
AUGAUCACCUCAGAUCAGACGUGGUGACCCGCUGAAUUUAAGCAUAUUACUAAGCGGAGGAAAAGAAACUAACCAGGAUUCCCCCAGUAACGGCGAGUGAACAGGGAAGAGCCCAUCGCCGAAUCCCCGGCUGCUGCGGUGGGCGCGGGAGUUGUGGCCUCGGGAGAGCGCCCUCGGUGCUGCUCGGGGGCCCAAGUCCUUCUGAUUGAGGCCUCUCCCGAGGACGGUGUCAGGCCGGUGGUGGCCCCCGGCGUGCCCGGUCGAGCUUCUCCCUGGAGUCGGGUGUUUGUGAAUGCAGCCCAAAGCGGGUGGAAACUCCAUCUAAGGCUAAAUACGGGCAUGAGACCGAUAGACGACAAGUACCGUGAGGGAAA